rnacentral:rRNA from 1 species
GAAUCAAAACUUUCAACAACGGAUCUCUUGGCUCUGGCAUCGAUGAAGAACGCAGCGAAACGCGAUAAGUAAUGUGAAUUCGAGAAUCCAGUGAAUCAUCGAAUCUUUGAACGCACAUUGCGCCCGCCAGCAUUCUGGCGGGCAUGCCUGUUCGAGG